rnacentral:rRNA from 1 species
AUUGAACGCUGGCGGCAUGCUUUACACAUGCAAGUCGAACGGUAACAGGCCUUCGGGUGCUGACGAGUGGCGAACGGGUGAGUAAUGCAUCGGAACGUACCCAGAGGUGGGGGAUAACGCAGCGAAAGCUGUGCUAAUACCGCAUGUGAUCUGAGGAUGAAAGCGGGGGACCGAGCAGCAAUGUUUGGCCUCGCGCCUUUGGAGCGGCCGAUGUCGGAUUAGCUAGUUGGUGGGGUAAAGGCCUACCAAGGCGACGAUCCGUAGCUGGUCUGAGAGGACGACCAGCCACACUGGGACUGAGACACGGCCCAGACUCCUACGGGAGGCAGCAGUGGGGAAUUUUGGACAAUGGGCGCAAGCCUGAUCCAGCAAUGCCGCGUGCGGGAAGAAGGCCUUCGGGUUGUAAACCGCUUUUGGCAGGAACGAAACGGUGUCCGCUAAUACCGGGCGCUAAUGACGGUACCUGCAGGAUAAGCACCGGCUAACUACGUG